rnacentral:rRNA from 1 species
AUUGAACGCUGGCGGCAUGCUUUACACAUGCAAGUCGAACGGCAGCAUGGGUGCUUGCACCUGAUGGCGAGUGGCGAACGGGUGAGUAAUAUAUCGGAACGUACCCGGAAAUGGGGGAUAACGUAGCGAAAGUUACGCUAAUACCGCAUAUGCCCUGAGGGGGAAAGUGGGGGAUCCGCAAGGACCUCACGUUUUCGGAGCGGCCGAUAUCAGAUUAGCUAGUUGGUGAGGUAAAGGCUGACCAAGGCGACGAUCUGUAGCUGGUCUGAGAGGACGACCAGCCACACUGGGACUGAGACACGGCCCAGACUCCUACGGGAGGCAGCAGUGGGGAAUUUUGGACAAUGGGGGCAACCCUGGUCCAGCCAUGCCGCGUGAGUGAAGAAGGUCUUCGGGUUGUAAAGCUCUUUCGGACAGAAAGAAAUCGCACAGGAUAAUACCUUGUGUGGAUGACGGUACUGUAAGAAGAAGCACCGGCUAACUACGUGCCAGCAGCCGCCGUAUAC